rnacentral:rRNA from 1 species
UACGAAGGGGGCUAGCGUUGUUCGGAAUUACUGGGCGUAAAGGGCGCGUAGGCGGCCUGUUAAGUCGGACGUGAAAUCCCUCGGCUCAACCGGGGAACUGCGUCCGAUACUGGCGGGCUUGAAUUCGGGAGAGGGAUGUGGAAUUCCAGGUGUAGCGGUGAAAUGCGUAGAUAUCUGGAGGAACACCGGUGGCGAAGGCGGCAUCCUGGACCGACAUUGACGCUGAGGCGCGAAAGCCAGGGGAGCAAACGGG